ensembl:lincRNA
AUGCUAGCUAGCAGGGGUAUGUUACGGGUUUUGUCGGGGGCGGGGAGGGGGUGGAGGGAAGCCCAGAUUUGGGAGGGAAAGCUCGUUUCACUAGAGAUCCCAUCUCUCGUUUCAAAAGGUCAUUUCCAUUCAGCAGAUCCUCUUUCCCUAUUUCAGAGCUCACCACUGUAUUCUAAACAGAAGCCAACAGAGGGAGAAAAACAAAGCCAAGUGCAAAAGCUGUGGGCACUGAAAGUUUUGCUCCACCGGCCGCGCAGCACCCACUUGGGGUCGGGCUUUGGGACUUGGGGGAGUCAGGAGCAGGCGGGGGCUGGGGAGAGGACGAGGCCCUGGGGAGGGGCUGGAAAAGGCUUUUCACAGCGACUGGCACUUGAUAUUUGCAAGUCUUGUGGAUGUCACUCACCGGAAACCAGACCCUGCGGUGCGAAGGCUCAGGUGGCAAAGGCAAAAGCUGGACUGCAUUGUGUGGCCCCAGGGAGCUGCAGACAGAGGAACUGAGUCCUGGCCACUGUGCCUGCUGUCUCUUACAAGUUUAGAGAUGCUGGCAUUGCAUCGAAAUCGGACAACACUCCCUUCCCUCCCUUCCCAGGUACGCCAUUCCCAACCUUUUCCACCAACAGGUCCUUAUUCUCAGAAGCCAAAAAUAAUUUAUUGGUUUCCACCGUUCUCCUUGGCUGAAUCUUCAAGUACACCAACUCCCCCCUCUUCUGGACAGACUCUCCAUAAUUCAGCGAGCAUCUAAUCAGCACCUUGCUUCUCUUCCAUUCUUCCUUUCUCCAGAGUCAUGAUUCUUCCUUCUCAAGUCAAAGAGGAAUUACAAGCAAAUAGACACUAUCCUUGAAUGCAGUUUGGGUUACACAGAAUGGGGAAUGAACUCAAUCUCAUUUUUGCUUCUUUGUUGAAAUAAGCUCAGUAUCUCCCUUGCACAGAGAGUGAAUCAGCUUCACUAAGACAAGCAGCAUUUCCUCUUUUCUCCCAGUCAGCAUCGCAGCUCUCUGCAUUCCCCUCUCGCAGAGGUGACUAUUCGUUGUGUUCUUUCCAGGAAUGUUUUCUGAGCUUCAGGAGGCCCUGAGUUACCUGGAUAAUUAGUGCUGUCCUUUUGCACAAUGCAAAAACAAAACCAUUAUGAGAUAAUUUCUUUAGCUAAGUUGGGAAUGGGGUUUAAAUGCAUGGGCAAAUAGAUCUGGCAGUCAAAUUCAGACUGUCUUAUUUUGUGAUCCACCCUCCCACCGAUCAUAGUAUAUAAGACUGAUGAACUUCACCAGCAACAGGGAAUUCUCCCUCCACUGCAGAUAAAACAAUGACAAUAUGGAAGUGAAAAACGAAUAAUUCAAAAAUGGAAUUCUCUGUGGGGCUCCGUGCAGUGUGUGUUUCUGUGUGUGCAUGUGUUUUAUACAAGUCUCUGUUACUUUUGUAGUUUGGAUUGGACUUCCGUCGGUCCAUUAAUUUUGUUACUGGAUCCCACCACUUACCCAAAAUUAGCCUUUGGGUUGGGUGUUUCUGCAGUAUAGUCCCUUCUGUGGACACCAGAAAGAUAUUACAGGAAAGGGGUCCUGAUCAAGACCCCCAGAGACGGUUCUUGGACCUGGUUGGGAGGCCGAGGAUCACUUGAGGUCAGGAGUUCAAGACCAGCCUGACCAACAUGGUGAAACCCCAUCUCUACUAAAAAAUACAAAAAUUAGCUAGGUGAGCCAGGCACGGUGGCUCACGCCUGUAAUCACGCCUGUAAUCCCAGCACUUUGGGAGGCCGAGACAGGUGGAUCACCUGAGGUCAGGAGUUCAAGACCAGGCUGGCCAACAUGGUCG